rfam:Leptonema illini DSM 21528 genomic scaffold Lepilscaffold_1, whole genome shotgun sequence.
GGGGACGAUCUGGUUUCGACUGCCGUGAAUCGGGUCGUUGGUCGCAUGCGAAGUUGAGGAGCUUCUAAAAACCUCACCCUUUACGUGCAAACGAAGAGUUUGCUCUCGCUGCUUAAUAGGUAGCAAGACGCUCUGCCCGGCUUUCCUUCUCGGGCCGGAACAGAGCGCCACCUCAGAGAAGGCGAAGGUUGCGGGCCCGGACGGCUGUAACUUUUGUAUAACCCGCCCGGAACGAUUGUGGUUGGCCGUCGCUGCGCUUGCCCCGAUCGUAACCAGCAGCGACUAAGCAUGUAGGGGCCCUCGGGUCGCACGGUAGGACGCGGGUUCGACUCCCGCCGUCUCCAGAA